CCUCUUCCUUUUUAGAUGUGAAUAAAAAGAUUCAAGACAAAGAGUGAGGGUUCUGCGGUUUCGAUCUCCUCUUCUAUGUACACACAGAAUGCUUUACCAGGCGAGGUGGGUUCGAGGAGAUUUCGAAAGGCGGUGGUGGUUAGGUGAUAGAGUUUCUGUAGCAGCCAGGCGAACAGGGUGGCCUUUUAUGGAGGAUAUUGCUAAUGGUCCCUUCUCCUUUUAGGAAGUAAUAACGUGCGUGAUGAAUGAUCAUCAUCAAUUGCUUUGUGGAAGACGAUAAAAUUAACACCGUGGCGGAAACGGGAGGGGACCCACCUUGUUCCAGAAAUCCACCAGCAAAUCUCAACCAUUCAAUGGAUUGAAAAGUCUAAAGCGGGAGAAUAUAACCAAUCAUUCGAUUGAAAACACCCUUUGCCAAAGUGGAUGCCUUUUCUAUGCAUGGGAUGAUGACACUUAAUUUACUCCCUACCUCUUUCUUUGCUUGUUUAAAUAUUUUAAUAUAUAUACAUAUACAUGCAUGCAUGUGUGUGAGAGAGAUUUAUUGAAAAUCACUUAAAGAAAAUGAAUAUUUUCAUUUUUUUUUUUUAAAAAAAAGUGAUUUAGCUUAUGGCCGCCAUGGCCCGAUGGAGAUUGUUAGGAUAUGGCCUCCCAGCUAGCGUAUCCUCCAUCCCAAGGACUUCUGAUCAGUUGAGCUAGCUAGCCUGAAGAGACUUGAUGAGAUAUUGCUAUAAUUUAUUGUCAUUUCUUAGCCAUUUCUUUUACGAGAAAUCUCAAUUCCUAGCUAUACAUGCAAA